UACGUAGGGGGCAAGCGUUGUCCGGAAUCAUUGGGCGUAAAGAGCGUGUAGGCGGCCAGAUAAGUCCGCUGUGAAAGUCGGGGGCUCAACCCUCGAAUGCCGGUGGAUACUGUCGGGCUAGAGUGCGGAAGAGGCGAGUGGAAUUCCUGGUGUAGCGGUGAAAUGCGCAGAUAUCAGGAGGAACACCUAUUGCGAAGGCAGCUCGCUGGGACGUAACUGACGCUGAGACGCGAAAGCGUGGGGAGCAAACAGG
rnacentral:rRNA from 1 species